AAUUAAUUAGUCAAGAAAAAGACUUUUUUUGUGUGUUCCAUAACUCAUUAGUGAGGAAGAAAGGUGUUUCUUUAAGAGAAAUACUAAUCAUAUUAUAUAAAGAUCUCACCUUUAAGAAGAUGAAGGAAAACAUAGUUAAGGAGAAAUGCAAUAUGACAUUCCGUGAAGGCAACAAUGGAAGAACUUAUACCCUUCAGAUAAUCUUUUUUAUUUCCCAAAGGUUUUGUGCAGUUGUGGUUCCCAAAUUCUUAGGCCCCCAUGCUAGACCUCUACUGAAUCAGAAACCCUCAGUGUGGGGCCCAGGAAUCUGUGCCCUCCAGAUGAUUCCGAUCCACUCAAGUGUGAGAACCACUGCUAUAGGACAUCACAAUUAUCUUUUGAGGAACUGUCAUUUUUUCCAAAAGUUUAAACUUUUUAAAGAAUUAGAAAAUAGCCUGUUUCCCUGAUAAAGAAGUUUAAAUUUCAUGAUAUGAUAAAUUCUAUUGUACAAAUGAUGUGAUUCUUGUUUGGAUAAAGAUCUUAGAGCAGACUUGAUAGCUAAUAGAAUCCCAUUUUGAUAUACAGAGCACUUUCUACAUAAUGAAUUUUCCAUAUCAGGUGGCUGAAGCCUUUACACAGCCGGAAUUUUAAGUAUUGCAUGUUUCUGGAAGAAAAGCAUUGAUCACAUCCUCCUUGGAUGUUUAGAAUCACCGAUGGAAAUUAAUUAUUUAAGCCACAUUUGGAUCUGCAGCAAUGCUCAGAAGAAGUUUUAUAACAGCCCAGAUGACAAAUUGUUCAGCUUCAUGAAGAUUUCACCAACUAAACCAACUGUUUAGUUUUUAAUUCAAAAGAAACUGAAGAGCAACUCACAGGUGGUGCAACAUGGAGAGAAAUCACACCUGUUCAGAGGGUUCUUACUGAAAGAACGUGAAAGUCAAGAAUCACUGUCUCUUGUCUAACUUGAUGAAGCAGGUGAUUUCAAACUGCAUGCAAAUGAGUCCAAAUAACUUGAGAUCUUGAACAGCGUAAGCUCCUUCAAAAGAAAUUCUCUAUUUAAGAUAAAC
rnacentral:lncRNA from 1 species